AUGAGCUUGGAGCCGCAGGGCUUAAUCCCGCGCGGCUCAGAGAUGGGUUUCUGGACUCGCGAAGCAGCUGCAACAAGGCAUCACUCACUGUAUAAGUAUUUCCAUUUCUGAGAGCAAAAGGAAGAACUUAAGCGGGCGGCACUUGGAGUGUAAAUUGCUUUGUAGUAUUUAAAGGCAGAAUGGAUCCUGGGCAGCCGAGCUGAUCAUGAGGUUCCUGAGGCCUCCUAGCCAUGCUUCCUGUGCAGCCUAUGGAACUCAACAAACCGGCAGGACUUCCUGUGAAAUCAUGACCACCAUGUGCUCUUUCAGCCUCUAUCAGUUCCUACCUCUAAGCACCUGAGAGCCAAAGCAAACCACAGGAAACCACAGGCCUUUGGAGUCAGACUGGAACUACAGCAUUGACUCUUCCGGAACUCCAGCUUACUGACUACAGAUCUUGGAACUUUUCAGCUUCCACAACCAUAAUGAAAGCCAAGCAUAUUCCAUCAUUUCCUAAAACCAAGAUAGAGCACAUAUGGGAACUUGUGAAAUAAGGAUGCCCUGCGGUUGUUUUCAGGACUGAAGACAACAGCUCCACGAUGAAACCAAAGCACAAAGAGAGAAAGAAAAGAAAGAGAAAAAAGGAAGAAAGAAAAGAAA
rnacentral:lncRNA from 1 species